UUAUCUUUCUGCUUGGUUUUUAUUGGAUAAACCAUUGUCAUGAAAAUAGCGUUUCUUCUGAGUAUUAUAAUAGGUCACGUGACCACAGAGAAUUGUCGAGUUGACACGGACUGCAUCCAUACAGUAUGUGACUCAGCUACUGAUCUUCACUGCAUUGAUGGAAUCUGCUCAUGCACAGAAUUGUCGGAAUUUGCAUGCACCACUCUGAAUGAUUGUCUAAAUAUAGGAAACUGGUACUGCCCUCCAAACAGACGUCAUUGUAUUGAUAAUCUAUGUAAAUGUAUAAGACUGUAACAAAAU